rnacentral:rRNA from 1 species
AUUCCGGUUGAUCCUGCCGGAGGUCAUUGCUAUUGGAGUCCGAUUUAGCCAUGCUAGUUGUACGAGUUUAGACUCGUAGCAGAUAGCUCAGUAACACGUGGCCAAACUACCCUAUGGAUCCAGACAACCUCGGGAAACUGAGGCUAAUCUGGAAUACGACUCUCAUCCUGGAGUGGAGAGAGUCCGAAAUGCUCCGGCGCCAUAGGAUGUGGCUGCGGCCGAUUAGGUAGACGGUGGGGUAACGGCCCACCGUGCCAGUAAUCGGUACGGGUUGUGAGAGCAAGAGCCCGGAGACGGUAUCUGAGACAAGAUACCGGGCCCUACGGGGCGCAGCAGGCGCGAAACCUUUACACUGCACGCCAGUGCGAUAAGGGGACUCCAAGUGCGAGGGCAUAUAGUCCUCGCUUUUUGCGACCGUAAGGUGGUCGCGGAAUAAGUGCUGGGCAAGACCGGUGCCAGCCGCCGCGGUAAUACCGGCAGCACGAGUGAUGACCGCUGUUAUUGGGCCUAAAGCGUCCGUAGCUGGCCGCGCAAGUCUAUCGGGAAAUCUCUUCGCUUAACGGAGAGGCGUCCGGUGGAAACUGUGUGGCUUGGGACCGGAAGACCAGAGGGGUACGUCUGGGGUAGGAGUG